UACGUAGGGGGCGAGCGUUGUCCGGAUUUAUUGGGCGUAAAGAGCUCGUAGGCGGUUCGAUAAGUCGGACGUGAAAUCUCCACGCUCAACGUGGAGGGGCCGUUCGAUACUGUCGUGACUCGAGUCCGGUAGGGGAGUGUGGAAUUCCCGGUGUAGCGGUGAAAUGCGUAGAUAUCAGGAGGAACACCGGCGGCGAAGGCGGCUCUCUGGACCACAACUGACGCUGAGGCGCGAAAGCGUGGGGAGCAAACAGG
rnacentral:rRNA from 1 species